rnacentral:rRNA from 1 species
GACGUAGGGCGCGAGCGUUGUCCGGAUUUAUUGGGCGUAAAGAGCUCGUAGGCGGCUUGUCGCGUCGACUGUGAAAUCCCGCGGCUCAACUGCGGGUCUGCAGUCGAUACGGGCAGGCUAGAGUUCGGUAGGGGAGACUGGAAUUCCUGGUGUAGCGGUGAAAUGCGCAGAUAUCAGGAGGAACACCGAUGGCGAAGGCAGGUCUCUG